UAUGCCUCAGAUCCCACCCUGAACUCACUUGAGCUCCUCUGAUCUCAGAAGCUAAGCAGGAUUGUGUCUGGUUAGCACUUAGGUGUAA
rnacentral:rRNA from 1 species